AGAUCAUUACUCAAAGAUUGGGUGUCCCCUUUGUACAGGCCUCGAAGAUAUCUCCAUGAGCUCUCAUUCUCAGGGUUAGCUAAAAUGGCCUCAACUGUAUAUUUCACUUCAGACUCUCUCAUGGUUUUUAGGCCUCCAAGGAAGGGAGAUCGAGUUAUAACAAAAUAUCUCUGAUUCCAAGCAGAGUUGUUAAACACAUCAUCUUCAAGAAGCUGCCCACAGUAGUCAAGUUCAUCUUCCCAUCCUCCUAAAGCCUGCAGUACCCACUGCCUGUGGGAC
rnacentral:misc_RNA from 1 species